rnacentral:tRNA from 1 species
UGGAGUAUCGCCAAGCGGUAAGGCAGCGGGUUUUGAUCCCGCCAUUCCCAGGUUCGAAUCCUGGUACUCCAGCCA